UGAACGCAAGGCUGCUGGCUUUGGCACAGCUCCCUGUGCAGGGCUGGAUUUCCAAUUGCUUUUCAGUGCCUGUGCCCUGAUAGGAUGGGCACAGCUGGUAUGGAAUCAGAGCAGCCCAUCUCCAGAGCAGAAGUCUGAGAGCUCAGCGUUUGACUCCUGAAAGACCAGGAUGUUCCUACCUGGGUUCUUGAGAUUCAUUGGCUAGUGGAGGUAGAUGGUACUCUCCAUGUCUGCAGAAGAUUCCCCACUUGGUGCUGAAGGCUAGGUGCCUUCCAGUCAGGUCUGAAUGCUGAAAUUGCUGAGAUUGUCCACUCUCUGCCUACUUUAUUGCAUUCAUGCUCCCCUUAGAUCCAAGAGUGCCCAGGACUAGGAGCAGAAAGCAGUUUUCAACCCUUUGUUCAGACUCAGACGGGUUUCAACUCAAGCGGGUAAUCUACCCCAGCAGCAGGGGUGCAAAGUCCAAAACAGCUUUGUGGUGCCUGGGGAGUGACUAGGCAGCCUGCUCACAGGGGCUGGAGUCAUCUAAAGCUAGUGAUGAGCUGGAAUAGCUUUGAACCGGUUCAUCCGAACUGAUUGUUAAACUUUCAGAACUUUUGAGAGUCAGUUGAGAAACAUAGCUAUUACUAAAAAAUUAAAUAAGAUUAGAUAAAUUAUAGCUAAAAGCAAAGGCAACAUAUAGUCAAAGCUCAUCACUUUCUACUUAUUUUACUACAUUUUACCAUUAUCUGUGCCCAUGAGGUAAUGUAUGCCUAUUAUGUCUGUAUGGUAGAAAUACUGUAUACAGGUAUACUACUACACACACCUUCCCAAGUGACAGUAUUUUUGUAGUUUGAGAUCAGCUAUAGUGGUGGUAUUUAUACCAUGGAAAGCAACAAAGCCAUGGAAAGCAACAAAGCCAUGCAAAUCAGACUCCUCCUAACCCCUAAGACAGUUGUUAAACAUUUGCCAGCAUACCACCAUCUAAAGCCCUAAAGAAUGCUUGGCCUCCCACUGCAUAGACACAGGCCACAUCACAUUGAGUAUCAUGGAUUUAUGGGUCAGCAUUGCCCCUAAGUCCAAGGAAGGGGAAAGACUUAGCAAGCUCAACCUCAUGUGAUUCACAAAGGGUUUCUUUCUGCAUUUGUAUUGACUCAGAAUAGGACCCAGUACAGAGAAUCCACUGUUAUCUAUGGGUGUCAUUCCUUCAGAAAGAAUGUACAGUAAAAUUGGCUAUUUCAUGCUAUGCAAACAAAAUGAAACUAGUUUGAAGUUGCAAAGUGUCUCCCCUCUUGCGCCCACGUAGUCAUCCAAGAAGGAAACUCCUUUCUUGCCUUGAUAUUCACCAGGCCUACCUAGAUAGAACUUGACAAAUUGGCCUAACUUCAUCUCCGCUGCUAUUGUUAUAUAUUUGCUUUACUGAAUCUAUGUCCUAUGUCAGUCAGAAGAAAAAAGAAAUGUCUUUUUUAAUAUACACUUUCUUAGCAUCCAUGCAGUUAUGUAUCCUCAUCCUGAUCCAGGAACAUAUUGAACAGAUCAUAUGUCUUUUGUUACUAUCUAGAUACACUAAAUAACAUGAUAGAAGAGUUUUCUCUUUCAGGUGAACUUCCAUUUUGAACAUAUGCUAAACGUACUAUCCACUGUCUAUUUUAAUGAGAUCUUGGCAAUGGUCCUGUCGGUUUUGGUGUUUGGAUUGUUUGGCUUUGUUUUCCUUUUUUAUUCUUCCUGUUUUUAAUGCUGUGUAAGAUCUCCUGCUAUGAAUGUUCCAGUUACCCCUAUUGUACUGUAUAUACGUGUGCUGCAUGUGUAAAUUCUGUUUCAGGUUUUGGAGUUUUCAUCUUAAGUACAGCUGGUCCUGUUGUGAACUCAUCUUUCCUGUAUGCUCCUCUGUGUCUGAUUUCCAAUUGCCAAAAUGUUUGACCAAAUGUGUUUUGACAAAUAUCCCGAGACAGCCAUGCGUAUCCUUGUGAAAGGGCAUGCUCCAUGUGGGAUGGCUCGUGUACAGCAUAAAUCUAUCAAACUUGGAAUUGUGUAUACAUUUAUAUGCCAGAUAACUAACAUUCAUGUAACAGCUGCAAAGAUAUUUAGUGUAUAUCAGAUUAAUAAAAGAGCAUUUUUUUUUUGCUCCAUUAUAUUCAAAUACA
rnacentral:lncRNA from 1 species